AUUGAACGCUGGCGGCAGGCCUAACACAUGCAAGUCGAGCGGAAACGAGUUAUCUGAACCUUCGGGGAACGAUAACGGCGUCGAGCGGCGGACGGGUGAGUAAUGCCUAGGAAAUUGCCUUGAUGUGGGGGAUAACCAUUGGAAACGAUGGCUAAUACCGCAUAAUGCCUACGGGCCAAAGAGGGGGACCUUCGGGCCUCUCGCGUCAAGAUAUGCCUAGGUGGGAUUAGCUAGUUGGUGAGGUAAUGGCUCACCAAGGCGACGAUCCCUAGCUGGUCUGAGAGGAUGAUCAGCCACACUGGAACUGAGACACGGUCCAGACUCCUACGGGAGGCAGCAGUGGGGAAUAUUGCACAAUGGGCGCAAGCCUGAUGCAGCCAUGCCGCGUGUAUGAAGAAGGCCUUCGGGUUGUAAAGUACUUUCAGCAGUGAGGAAGGGGGUGUCGUUAAUAGCGGCAUCUCUUGACGUUAGCUGCAGAAGAAGCACCGGCUAACUCCGUGCCAGCCGCCGCCGUAACAC
rnacentral:rRNA from 1 species